rnacentral:rRNA from 1 species
GACGAACGCUGGCGGCGUGCUUAACACAUGCAAGUCGAACGGAAAGGCCCUGCUUUUGUGGGGUGCUCGAGUGGCGAACGGGUGAGUAACACGUGAGUAACCUGCCCUUGACUUUGGGAUAACUUCAGGAAACUGGGGCUAAUACCGGAUAGGAGCUCCUGCUGCAUGGUGGGGGUUGGAAAGUUUCGGCGGUUGGGGAUGGACUCGCGGCUUAUCAGCUUGUUGGUGGGGUAGUGGCUUACCAAGGCUUUGACGGGUAGCCGGCCUGAGAGGGUGACCGGCCAAAUUGGGACUGAGAUACGGCACAGAGUCCUACGGGAGGCAGGAGUGGGGAAUAUUGCACAAUGGGCGGAAGCCUGAUGCAGCAACGCCGCGUGCGGGAUGACGGCCUUCGGGUUGUAAACCGCUUUCGCCUGUGACGAAGCGUGAGUGAAGGUAAUGGGUAAAGAAGCACCGGCUAACUACGUG